rnacentral:misc_RNA from 1 species
UUUGUUUUUUAAUUAAAAACUAGAAUGAAAGGUUAUACAUUCAAAUUUCUUUAUUAAUUUUUAAUAAAUAAUUUAUAUUAAAUAUAAAAAUAUAUUUAUAAAAAAAAAAGACGACAAGACCCUAUUAAAUUUUACUUAUAGUUUAGCUGGGGAAGCUUUUCAAUUAAAAUUUUUUAAAUUAAAUAAAUAAAAAUCUAAUAAAAUUAAAAUUUUAAUAAAUUACUAUAGGGAUAACAGCAUUAUAUUUUUUUAAAGUUCAUAUUAAAAAAAAUGAUUGUGACCUCGAUGUUGAAUUAUAUUUUCUAUAUUUAAUGCAAUAAUUAUAAAAGUAGAUCUGUUCGAUCUUUAAAAUAUUACAUGAUUUGAGUUCAAACCGGUGUAAACCAGGUUGGUUUUUAUCUUUUUAUAUAUUUUUCUAGUACGAAAGGACAAAAAAAUUUUUAUUUUAAUAAAUUAGCAAAUAAAUGCAUUAGAUUUAGAAUCUAAUUAUAUUUAAUAAUU